rnacentral:rRNA from 1 species
AGAGUUUGAUCCUGGCUCAGGACGAACGCUGGCGGCGUGCCUAAUACAUGCAAGUCGAACGCUUCUUUUUCCACCGGAGCUUGUUCCACCGGAAAAAGAGGAGUGGCGAACGGGUGAGUAACACGUGGGUAACCUGCCCAUCAGAAGGGGAUAACACUUGGAAACAGGUGCUAAUACCGUAUAACAAUCAAAACCGCAUGGUUUUGAUUUGAAAGGCGCUUUCGGGUGUCGCUGAUGGAUGGACCCGCGGUGCAUUAGCUAGUUGGUGAGGUAACGGCUCACCAAGGCCACGAUGCAUAGCCGACCUGAGAGGGUGAUCGGCCACAUUGGGACUGAGACACGGCCCAAACUCCUACGGGAGGCAGCAGUAGGGAAUCUUCGGCAAUGGACGAAAGUCUGACCGAGCAACGCCGCGUGAGUGAAGAAGGUUUUCGGAUCGUAAAACUCUGUUGUUAGAGAAGAACAAGGAUGAGAGUAACUGUUAUUCCCUUGACGGU